AAAUCAUCCCCAAGUAUAACAAGAGACGAACAGUUAGUGCUGAUUUUCAUUUGCAUAAAUUUUCAUAUAUUUUAGUGAAAAUAAUAGCGGGAGCAGAGCGGCGCUCCUGCUCAGUCGAGGCGGAGGAAAGAAAAUCUGAGGGAGCAGCGAGUCGCCGGGAAGGGAGAUAUAACCGCUUCCACGCUCCGUGGGAGCAAACCCACGCCACGUCUUUCACUCUGAAGGAGACCCUCACAAGCACCAAACUUUGGUUCCUCCUCGUCCCCGGUGUAGAACCUGUGGGGAUCUGACAGGGGCCUGCGCGCAGGAGCGAACAAAAGGGACGACCUCGGAAGCGAACUCCGGGGUUUAAUUCGACGCAUUAGCUGCAGUCACACUCCAGCGCCGAGCACAAAUCUCUAAAUCUGGAGCAAAUUCGGCUCCUUUAAAGCGCGGAUCAUCUGCGAAAUGUUGAUUUUCUCAAGACGGUGAGCAUGACGCCUCUGUACGUCGUCUUCGCCGUGAAAAAUCUGUAUUGUGUUUUUCGCAAGUGUGCAAUAAAAAACAAGUCAGCAGAA